rnacentral:rRNA from 1 species
UACGGAGGGUGCGAGCGUUGUCCGGAAUCACUGGGCGUAAAGGGCGCGCAGGCGGCCUGGCAAGUCGAUGGUGAAAGCCCGUGGCUCAACUACGGGUCGGCCAUUGAUACUGCUAGGCUCGAGUCGACUAGAGGCAGAUGGAAUUCCGGGUGUAGCGGUGGAAUGCGUAGAGAUCCGGAAGAACACCGGUGGCGAAGGCGGUCUGCUGGGGUCGAACUGACGCUGAGGCGCGACAGCGUGGGGAGCAAACAGG